rnacentral:rRNA from 1 species
UACGAGGGGAGCAAGCGUUGUUCGGAUUUACUGGGCGUAAAGGGCGCGUAGGCGGCCACGACAAGUCACUUGUGAAAUCUCCGGGCUUAACCCGGAACGGUCAAGUGAUACUGUCGGGCUAGAGUACAGAAGGGGCAACUGGAAUUCUCGGUGUAGCGGUGAAAUGCGUAGAUAUCGAGAGGAACACCUGCGGCGAAGGCGGGUUGCUGGGCUGAUACUGACGCUGAGGCGCGAAAGCCAGGGGAGCGAACGGG